ensembl:lncRNA
ACAGAGGAGGAGCAACGGAGACAGCGACGGAGAAAAGACGCCGGACUAAUGAGGAACAAAGACCUAACGAGUUUCGCGAAGGAAAAUGAAGUGUUUCCAAAGUCGUCUUUAAACUUGGCGAGAUGAAACGCGGCAGCGGCAGUUGUUUUUGACAGCUCGGGACGAGAGGGGCCACGGCUCAGAGAGAGAGGGGUAAUUCCCUAUUCCUUUAUAUUACCCUCUCUCCCGUUCUCCCUGCUGGGAGCCUCCUCAUCCCUCGCUCCGCUUCCCUACAUUGAUUCUUGAAUUAGACUGUUUUAUUGAAUAAUUAAUAGCCCUUUUCCCAUGAUUGAUGAUUUGCAUGGCUUGAAUAUUAGCUUUUCAAUCAAACGCAGCUUGUUCUAAUGUAACCAUAUUGGAAACAUGUCAAACACUGUUUACCCACUUUGUGUCGGCGAUGUUGUCUUAAGUUCCGGGCUGCCGAGGUCCCAUAAUGCUCGGCGGCGGGGAGGGAGAGCACGCGGGGGCCCUCCGACGAGGCCCCCGGGGUUCUGACACCCGUCCCGAUUGACUCCAUGUGCGAUAGGGCGUGCAGGCUGGGAGAGCUCUGACGCGCACAAACACAAACAAACAAAACACAAAAACACACGUACACAAAAGAGCCCAUGCAGUUUCCUUUCCUACUGGUAAGGCAGCAGCUCCCCAGAAGAGCCCGUCAGCUACUGCAGUGGUUCUGAGUGGCAGCGAGGCCAGUCGGGGAAUAGAUUGUCAGGCGUCCUGCGUCUAGCACAUCAAUGCUGGAGGGGGGGGGGGGGGGGGGACACAUGCAUUAAGAUUUCCCUUUUUAAUUUGACUGGGAUUGAAGUGGAGCGCUAAAUUACGCCGCCGUUCCUCCCCGACGCUCAUGCUGCCCCGCUCCCCCCAAUCCGGAAAGUGUUUUUUUUUUGUUUGUUUCGCUUAUUUAUUUACUCCCCCCCACCCCCGUCCCCCAGCCUCUCCUUCCCACCCUGCUUUACUUAUUCAUUCAUUCCGAGAGUCCGAUUUUCUGAGAGCUUGUCAGCCCGUCGCUCGGCGCAUGAAAGCGUUUUGCGCGGCGUUGUGUCUCGUGUGUUUAGACACUUCCAAACAUGCGCGUGGCUAAAUAAUUUACAGAGCUACUGACUAAUGACAGGCAGUGAUCAUGUCGAGACGAGGAGGCCUGGGUGACUGCUGAUCAGGGACGGAGUUGUCUCUUCCCCUCUCGCUCACUGUGUGUGUGUGUGUGUGUGUGUUUUGGCUACGUUGUGCGUGUGGGAAGGGAAUAUGUUUGUGUCGGUGUCUUGGUACUGCAGGAAGCUACAGAAGACUGCGGCUCUCUCCGCUGUAUGGAGAUCCCUCCCAAGGCAUUUGUAGAAAAUUGAUUUAGAGUUUCAUUAAUCACUCGGGGGGUUUGUGUGUGACAGUUUGUUCAGUGUGUAUACAAGGGAUCUGCAUACUCGAGGCUCCCAGGACAAUUCCUGGAGCACGGCAUGUGAGCCUUAGAUUGUGGUGCAUCAUGUACGUUGGUGGUUCAUUGUUUGUCACACUGAGCGGCACCAAUGGAAACAGACAGUUCACCUGCUCACCGUGACGAUCACUGCAAGUCAGGGCCCCGAGUUAUUGACUCUUACAUGCAACCAUUUAGAGGUUAGCGAUGAGACCAAAUGUAGCUUUCUUUUUCUAUUCUAUUUUCCUUCAUUUACAUUCUUUAUUUGCACAUAUCUUCUCAAAAUACACUUCAGUCUCCACAGGAAAACUACCUACUUAGGUUUAGGCAACAAAACUAUUUAUUUAGGUUCAGGAAAGAUUGUCGUUUGGGUUCAAAUGACCAUUGAAGUGCUACAAAUAUACGCAGGUUACAUGAAAAAUAAACCGCUGUCCACGUGGUGUACUGGAGGAAAGAUGAGUGUUUGUUGUGAAUGUUUACAGCAGCAGGACGAUGCACUGUGGGGAUCUUCUACGAUGCCUGUUUAUCACAUAGAAGGAACAUUCUACCACAUGCAGCCGUGAUGCUCACUAACGGGUUUCUGUUUUCGGGCAAUAAUGUUCCGGAAGAUAAAUCUAGGUGAAAAUGUAUUUAAACAUAUCUGCUCCUUUGAAAAUUUUGGUCAUUGCAUCCCGCAUCUCACUUAUCUUUAAAGUAAACAUAUGUUCCAAACUUUGAAUUGUUUUUGGGGUUGUAUAUCAAGCAAUCUUGAUGCAUAACUCUUGCUACUUUGGGGUUGUAUACGUUUAUUGUACGUUCCUUUGGACAAAAUCCGAAAUGAAUCUAUACAAUGCAAUAAAAAUAUGAGACGGAGAGAAUGAAGGACGCAGAUGACGGAAGGUUUAUGCCAUUAAAAGUAGUUGUCUGCAACUAAGUGGUAAGUCUUCAUAGAAUUGCUGCGCCUGGUGGGGAAGGCCCUGGUUUUUUCACAGACACAAUCAAUUACCAACAAAGAAAUUCAAUAAGAAGCAAACGAGCUAAAGAAAGAAAACCAGAAUUAAACACAAAAACACGUAUAGCACAACAGCAUUCCCCUGGAACCUCUGCUGCCCUCACUAUAAAGGCACCUUGAAGAGGAGGCCCGCUCCCUCGGGCUUACCAAGUAUCUGAUCUAUUAUGCAAAGAAUCAUUAGGCUAAAUUAAAAAGCUGUUUGAGGGUAACCAGAUCCUUUAAUGAGGUCAGCGAGCACAGGAGCGACAUUAAAACACAACCCCAGAACAGAAACACGAGACAACGGCAGAGGGGAGGCCAUCGAUUAUCAAUCAUGUAGGUCAUUAUCUCGCUGACUCUCUCUCUCACACACACACACACACACACACUCACAGCACACUCUAAUGCAUUCCAUUCCUCUCACUUUCUCCUCGUGUCUUCGUCAGACAGAAGUAAACUUUUUUUUUAUGGUUUCAGUAAUCAUCCCUUUAAGCUUCCCUCACAACUCUGCUGGUCAGCCGGCGACAAUCGCAGUAAUCAGGACGGAUCCUGCACAUCUCGCUGGCAGGAUCGCUGGUUUUGAAGUGUGUGUUUAGGUUUGUCUGACAGUCUUUUCGUAGAUUCCCUGGGAAAAAGCCUUCAGUUUAUGUGGCGUGGUGAGCGCCUCUGUCUAUUUAAUUAGCGGUUCUGAAUCUCAAGCAGGCUGCGCAUCUAAAAAUACAACCAAAAUGAUGUUAAAGAGACAAGAUACAGUAAAAGCUGACAAUUAUGAUAAUACGGCGCGGUUUUGAUAAAGAUAUACAGCAGGAUGUGUCCAACCUGCCUCCUGAAGCAAUGCGGUACUAGUGUGUGUGUGUGUGUGUGUGUGUGUGUAGCUGUGUGUGCAUGUGAGAGAAAGAGCUACAACAAAAGCCGGCUUUCUGCACAUUAACUGCAAUGAUUUCUAAACAACACAGAUGCUGCUGAUUAUAUUUACAUCUCAUAACCAUAAAACAAACAAAAAAUCUGAAUAUUAAUUGGGUGACAGUCAAAGCUUAAAAGCGUAAACUGGGUUAUCAAACGGGACAGUUGGCCUCCUCGUGUCAUGCAGAAAGCCGUUUGACUGAAGGCUAACAUGGUGACCUCUCGUAACUUUGAAUGUACUUUGAUAUUCCUUCUCCUGGAGCUCCUGGGAUUAGUUCUAGCAUCUGAUGCAGCACAACAGGGUCACUGAGAAACUUGUUUUGGGUUACCUGGUUCAUGUCUUGCUCGACACUACAUAUAUUUUUCUGCCGAAGCGGAGAAGAAACAAACUGAAAAAAGGAUCUGCAAAGUAGCAUAGGUUCCUGGAUAUCAGGAAUCCAACAUGAAGCAACUCUUCAACCAUUUUUUAUUUGUUAAAAUUGAUAAAAGCAAUCUUCGUGUAAAGGCUAGAGUCUUUUAUUUAUAUAUUCACUCAGGUACUUUAGUGUUGUAUUCAGUGUUCUACGGCUUGACUGGCAAAAUCAAAGGAAGGAUUAAAGGUAAAAACACAGACAAGUCCAGGAGCAACACUGUGACCUCGACCGGUCAAUGACGUGUCAGCAAUCACAUCCUGCGUCGUGGUCGGUUUAACUGGACAUGGGACCUUCCUUUACUAAACGAGCAUCUCACUGUAUCAACAAACAUCUCAAACUUACAGCUCGGACCAUAAAGUCGUGUUUACAAUAUUUACUGAGGCAAUAAGUGAAGUCAAGUCAUUUUCUCCAAGACUUCUAUGCAAUAACACCAGGGCUGUUGCCCCUGUGAUGGCCAUUAAAAAAAUAAAUCAAGUUAAAGCCACUUCAGUAUUGGCUUCAUGUUUCAGACCCAGAGGUUGUUAACCACAUCUGCAUUGUGAGCCGAAUACUUUCAGCAUGCUAAAAUCAAACCAUGUUUGUGUUAUAACCUGACGCUGCUCUUUGCCAGGAGGUGUAAUAAAGUCAAAGAAUUCAUGUUUUUCGAGUUAACCUGGUGUCAUUGAUUAAUUAUUCAUUAAGAAUGAACUGAAAGAGAAAACUGUGUGCAAUAGGAAAGUUGUCAGUUGGGACGACGGACCAACAUUUAUAUUUCCCCCCACUUUAACUUCAGUUCAGCACUUUUUUCAAAGCCAUUUGGCAGUUUGGUUCGUGCGCCUGCAACUUUAGUGUUUUGGUUCAACCAACUCAUUACAGCGAAGUGUCUCAAUGCAGCGAGCAGCUGUUGGAAAUGAAAGAAAACCCUUUACUCUACAAGCCCAGGUCCAAACUAACUACCUAGAGGAGCAUUUAGCAAAGUUGAAGAUAUGCAAUCCAAAGGCAAAAGGAGUGAACACUGGACUAACAUUUUCCACGUGGCCUCCAACACAAUUCCAAAUGAAUACUAAUGUUUUGCGCCAUGUUUGCUAGAUGUGUAAAUAAUCAACAAUUCACUGGAAUUGGAAUUCUAAGGUUCAGCAUUGCCAGCCACAAAGUGAUGAAAUGUCAGUGUUGCGUUAACUGCAAUUUCCAAAAAUCUUAUUAAAGCACAUCGCUUUGCUUAAACCAACAGAAAUAUUUCAUCAUUUGAACUUGUCUUGUAUUACACAAUAUUUCUGUUGCACAUUGUUUUGGGCUUUAAGUGUGGCAACGUCCAAGGAUCCAACCACAGCAAAAACAAAUGAUUGUUCCUCUUUGUCAUUCAUGCCUUACUUGUGUGUGUGUGCAUCUCGUGCAUGCGUGUGAUGUUUGGCGGGUUGAUUAAAACCUAAAAUAGCUUCCUGCUGAUGUAUCCAAUCAAUCACUAUCACCCUCUCCAACCCUGCUGACCCGUCCUCUCUCCAUCCCUCUCCCCUGUCCCCCUGACUGAAUGUCCACGUCCACUCUCUCAUCUGGCGUUCAUCUCUCCGUCCCCUGCCGGUGCCCUGGGGACGGUUUGCGCGUGUCCGUCUGCGUCACUCGACCCCCUUGACCUCCCGGGAGCCGAGUGAGAGGUUUCAGUUUGGGCCCGAAUCAAAAGGGACAGUUGGCACGGCUCAAUCAGAGGCAAUUACGGCGGCGGCGAUUAGCGCUGUCGCUGCGCGAAGCGAGGCCACGAGCAGAGUGAAUGAUGGAGGAGCCGGCGGCUCACCGGAGAGACGCAGCCUUCAAACACGCCGGCGCUCUGCACCGGUGGGAAAGGGUUCGCCGGGGCCGUGCGCCUUCUGGCUGGCUGUUAUUAUGUUGCUCACGGCGUUCUAUCGUGGCGACUGUCAGCCGUAGAGAGCCGCGAGAGGGAAGCGGCCACGACGGCCGGAAUACCUGAAAGGACGCGCAGCAUUUAUUUCACGGGGCUUUGUGAGCAGCAGUUGUCAGCUGAUCUGAGGACAAUCGUCAGAACACCUGUUCGAUGCUUUUGGUGACACGUGGGCUCCUCCGGCUCAUGAUGUUGUGUUUACAGGGCGCAUUAAUAUUCAAUUGGAAAGGCAACAAAUUAUCUCAUUAAAACUGUAUCAUUAUAAAAGCUUACGUGUAUAAUACUAAAUAAAUAUUCAGAGAAACAAAAAAAAACACAGGAGAAACUAUUUUAAACAUUUGUCCCUUUGCACAGCCAGAAAGUAGCCCUUUACCUGUGUAUUUACACAUGACAAACUUCACCUCAAACAAAACAACACAAUAACAUAUUUACACAUAUAUUUUUAUUACAUUACAUGUCAUUUAGCUGACGCUUUUAUCCAAAGCGACGUACAAUAAGUGCAUUCAACCAUAGGGUACAAACUCAGAAGAACAAGAAACAAGAAAGUGCAUUUUUAUCAAAUAAGCCAAUUUACAAUUUGCUAUAGAUGAGUGACGUUACAAGUACAAUUUAAGUGCUACAAUUUGUUAGUCUUUAGUCGAGGUAGAGUCUGAAGAGAUGUGUCUUUAGUUUGCGGCGAAAGAUGUGAAGGCUCUCUGCGGUCCUGGUGUCUUCAGAGAGCUCGUUCCACCAUUUCGGAGCAAGGACAGCAAAGAGUCGUGAUCUUGUCGAGUGUUUUGCUCUCAGUGAGGGAGGGACGAGUAGUUUUGCAGAUGCAGAGCGGAGAGUGCGGGUUGGGAUGUAGGGUUUGACCAUGUGCUGCAUGUAAGCUGGACCCGAUCCAUUCACAGCAUGGUACGUGAGCACCAAUGUUUUGAACUGGAUGCGGGCGGCCACCGGUAGCCAGUGAAGAGAGCGGAGGAGUGGAGUAGUGUGGGAGAAUUUCGGAAGGUUGAAGACCAGUCGAGCUGCUGCAUUCUGGAUGAGCCAGGAGGGAGUUGCAGUAGUCCAGGCGGGAGAUGACAAGAGCCUGAAUCAGUACCUGCGCUGCCUUCUGAGUGAGAAGGGGACGUAUUCUCCUGAUGUUGUACAGCAUAUAUCUACAGGAUCGUGUUGUCGCAGUGAUGUUGGGAGUCAAGGAAAGUUGGCUGUCGAGUGUCACGUUGAGGUUCCUAGCAGUCAAAGUGGGCGUUAACACGAAGUUGGCAAAGUUGACCGUCAGGUCCUGGGUCGGAGAAUCUUUUCCCAGAAAUAGUAUUUCAGUCUUGUCGGGGUUGAUUUUCAGAUGGUGGGCGGACAUCCACUGAGAGAUGUCAGUCAGACAGGCAGAGAUCCGUGCCGCCACCUGAGUGUCCGAGUGAGGGAAGGAGAGAAUUAGUUGGGUGUCAUCGGCAUAGCUGUGGUAAGAGAAGCCAUGCGAACGAAUGACAGCUCAGAGAGAGUUGGUGUAGAGCGAGAAGAGGAGGGGACCCAGGACGGACCCCUGAGGAACUCCAGUAGUAAGAGGACAAGGUUCCGACACAGAUCCUCGCCAGGUUACCCGGGAGGUGCGGCCGUCGAGGUAGGACGAGAGAAGGGAGAGAGCAGAGCCUAAGACACCAGUUCAUGAAGUUCCUCAAGAGAAUUGACCCUUCUAAGCCUGGAUGCCUUGCGCUAUUUGGUCAAAUUGACAGAGCUGCAAUUUUGGAGUGUGCAUCAGGCUUUACUUUACUUUAAGUAAUUAAAAGUAGCAUGAAAUUGAGUCGACACUGUCACUCACUGCACUACCUGCAUAAAAAUGAUCACAUUUGAUAACCAAGACACACAAGGGUCUGCAAUAUGCAUCUGAUGGUUAUAUUCAGGAGGUCAGACUUAUUCUGAAGAGGAAACAGGUUUAUGAUAGUGGCUUAAACCUACUGAUCUCAGUGUAAAAGGACAACUCAUCUGGUGAUCGAGACAGAAGACAAUACAACUAAGGAACACCACUGUCCAUAAAAAGUAGAUUAGGUCUUUAUUUAGUGUUACAAAAAUGAAAUGUACUUACCUAAUGUAAGCUUCACAGGUUUGUAGGUGGGAACCUAUAUCUGCUUAAACUAUUUGAGUGAAGAGUCUCACUAUUAAUGACUUCCACAUCCAGAAACCCAGCCUGAAAAUGAGGACAAUCUGAAACCAUUGCAUGAUAGUCUAUGGAGCAGACCGGUGCUACGCUGCGAUUGGCCACUCUGUGUUCAAGGGCGGGACUUGGCAAAAGGGUCCUUUGGUGCAGGUAAGCUAUUUCUGCAACUGCAGUCAUGUUCCUGUGAUUGGGUGGCAUUUAAUCUCACCUCUUGAUCCCGAUCAUGUAAAGGACACACACACACACACACACACACACACACACACACACACACACACACACACACUCUUGCUGUGCUUUAACACAGGCCUUUACCGGACAUAUAAUGUGUAUAUAUUUUUAUGUCCUAGAUAUUGUCUUUUCCUUGUGUAGCUUAUUCUCAGCUGUGUUGUCCGUAGCCCAAUUAAGGGAAUGACUGACACAGCUUCCACAGCGACAGGGGGUCACAUGCCAAUCCUCAAACCUCAGCCCUUGGUUUUAUCCUCACAUUGCAGCUCUAUUGAUGCUUUCGGAUGUGUGAUGGCGAUGGCAGAUAAGAGCCAGGUGUGUGUGUGUGUGUGUGUGUGGGUUUGUGCAGAGAGGGGUUGCAGAGCCCCGGCUUCAAAAGCAUGAUUGGAUCUGCACACAUGCUCCAUGCUAGCACGCUAUCUGCGUUCUUCCUGUUGGAGUGCGAGCGAGCAGUCCACUGUGACCUUCAGGUGGCGGGCAUGCAGCUCCAUGAUUAGAGGGUCACCGCCUCGCUCCCCGCUCCAGCUGUUCCCCUUCAAUCCCCGCACAGUCCGCGGCCGGCAAUGGGAACGGUUCGAUGACAUCACCGGUCACAGAGGGGCCGGUGGGAGGCCCGCCCUGCCCCUUCCCCUCACCUCUGGGAUCGUGCUAAUGAGGCGUGCCGCGUCUUCCUCUGUUUCCAUCUGCUGUACUUCCGCGGCGCUGCUCAGUUUCAGUAGCCGGAUCCCGCUGUACGGACCAGAGACACCCUACAGCUCCUGCUGCUGCACCUCUCUAAUGACCCGCACAGAACUCGGCCAGCGGGCCGGCCGGAGCAGCCGGGCCGGCUCCGAGCUUUCUUGUCCCUCAGAUGUGCUCAAAGCUGCGCGGUAGGAGGCAACCUCAACACACUGUGAUCUGAAUAACUGGCUCACGCGCUGAUCUGCGUGCCCGAUCACUCCAACAGGAGCGUUUAUUUGAUGCGAGCUAAAUUCAUGUCUUUUUUUGUGUGUGUGAGCUGCUUUGUUGAAGUUCGAGCUGAGUAGUAAUUGGUCACAACGGAGAGUCCGUAGUAAAAAUAAAAUGACUUUUUUGGUAUUGAGUUAACAUGAACAAUAGCACUUAAAGACAGAAGACAAAUAACAAAAGCAAGAAAAAAAAUUGUUUAUCAAUAUGCAAAAUUUACUGAUGUGUUUAAUUCAGGCCCAGUUUUUUUGUUGCCGGGAGGCUAUUGGGAUAGUCAUUAGAAAUCCACAAACAAAAUAAUGAUUGUGCCGUAUUUAUCCGAUGUUGCUUUCUAUUGCGAGCAAACUGUAUUUCUUAUUUCUUGAAUUGUUUUUCAUCCGAGCAGUUCCGCGGGGAGCGAGGCCGAGCUGCUCUCCCCUCACAUCUGCCUGCGUGCCCCGUGUGUAGUGAAUUCACUCUGCAACGAUGGAAGGAGCUGCGAGGUUUUGAACCCCAACCAAAAGUUGAAAGAGUGUGCAGUCGCAGUUGCAUGUGACUUUGAAAUCUCAAAUCCUGCCUGUGACUGCGGCGCCGAGGAGACGAGAGCGCCUCGCUUUGCACUUUUCUUUUCUCCUGUUAAGAAAUCAAAAGGCGUAGCUCCCUUUAUUUGCCCCUAAUGCGGCAUGCGGCUGCUUUGGUGGUGGAUUGCAAAGGUGCGAAGCGCGCUCUUUUUACUGUUCCGUACGGAACAUGUUUUUCCGAAACAACACGAUGUUUGUGCCGUACGUCUCUCAAAAGGAAAUGGCGCGUCUUACAAAACGACCACAUAACGUUGUUUUUCCUGAUCUGAUAGCGAAUAUUUGUCGAGCGUUCGCUGUGAACUGUGAAGUUGGCAAAACCGCUGCAUGAUGUGGCUUUUACGCAUCCCUCACUUCCUGCACACCUGUAAUAUAUAUCAGAGCGGGGGAGGGGAGGGGGGGCGAGCGGUCGGCGGGUAACUGUCGCUCAAUAUGGCAACUGGGGGCUGGAGCGUGAAGCGUGACAUCCCGUUGCCGUAACUAAUCGGGACACUGAGAUAAGCUCAAAGCAGAUGUUGCUUUGGCCCCUGGUUUCUCAAACAUGACCCAUCUGGCCAACGGUUUCAUUGAUAACCGGCUCGUCCUCUUCCUCCUCGGCCCUGCGUCUCCAUGAAUAUAGAGCUGCGCAGUGUCUUCAGCGAUGCAGCCGGGCAGUAAGGUGAAGUCAGAGAUGCUCCAAGACCGGAGACAACGUCUCGGGGCGAAUGAAUGAAACCAUUCAUCAUCACCGCUUGAUGCUCGUUUGUUGGUGAUCUGAUCUGUGGUCAGCGUCAAGGGUAAAUUAAUGUGGCGUUGUGGCUGUUAGUCGGGAGCCGGGGGCAACUCUUUAGCAAACACACCAGCGCUCACUCAAACAUGUCUGAGAGAGAGAUGAUUAGAAAGAAUGAAAGAUCGAGAGAGAGAGAGAGAGAGAGAGAGAGAGAGAGAGAGAGAGAGAGAGAGAGAGAGAGAGAGAGAGAGAGAGCUCCAACUGCGCUGCACAUUUUUCAUUUCCCUCCGAGUUGAAAAGAUCAGGUAAUUGGAAAGGAGACAAUCCGGCUCUGUAGUCGCCAAUGAAAAGCUUCAGAGAUAUUAGAGUAUUACACUUUGUGCCUGGUCUUUGUAUUUCUUUCACAUUGGGGCCUGUGGGGAAAAAAAUGGCCCCUUAAUGAGAACACCUGAAAAGCGUUUUUCCAUCGGGCUCAUGCAUCAUUGUCAGCGGCGCAGAUGAGAGCGCAUUGUUUCUCUUUGGAUGGGCGAUGUCAGCGGGGAGACAGCCGGCUAAAGAGAAGGAGAGAGAGAGGGAGGGAGGGAGGGAGGGAGGGAGGG